AACAAACCUACUUAGAGCUGUCCACUUGUGAUCUAAUCACUCAGGACAGAUGUUAAAACCAGGUCAGAACAG